AUAUAAGAGGGGGCGGGAGACAAGCCCUAUCAGCACAUCCCAGAAAAUGGGAAACCGAAUCACCCAGGGGAUGGCAAGGAAUGACCAGAGGGAAAGUUCCAGUUCUGUCCAACAUGCACUACCAGCCCCAUUUUGGAAAAGAACAGAUUUAAUAGACCUCACCAAGACAAGAAUUGUUUUUCGUCAAAGGAAAUCAAAGGAACAAACAAGAGGCAGUGACCACCAGAGACUUCACCUUUUGGUGUAGGAAAACCCAAGCAGACAGUGUCUACAUCCAUCAAAGCCCAAUGUAUUAAAUAUUUAUUGAAUAAGAACCCACGGACUCUUCCUUACCAGAGCCUUAGAUUGCCAUGUGCGUCUGAUUGCUCCAAAGACAAGACUAUUGUGAUUUUGGCCCCAUAUGCAUUUUAGAGUAACAAGUCUUACCAGAAAAAUAAUAGCCAGCCCCAGCUUAAUUCCUAGAGAAACUCAAACCACCUUGUUAAGAACAAUCCCAGAGGAGAGUUUAUACUAAGGAGCACUACACAAUGCUGUUUGCCAUCUCUGGGCCCUCUAAAAGCAAGCCCAACCUUGGAAAAGGAAUGUCUGCCACCAGGGAAACGUGGCUGCACUGCUGGAGGAAGAACUUGAUCAUGACGGGCAAUGCUUGGAAGUAAAGAAGCAUCUGCUGCCUUGGAAAGGCUUGGUCAGGGCAAUCAUUGUCACAGGCCAUGUUUUUUCUCUGACUAUCUCUUGGAAUUUCAGAGUGACUAAGUGAUUACUACAAUUAGAGCAAGAGGCGGUGUCUUCCAGAAGUCGGUGUGGGCAGCACCAAACCAUCCACCAUGCAUCAGAGAAAAGCCAGACAGCUGGAAGGCUCUAUUCCCAGGCCACUCUCCAGUCCUCAAACAUGUCACCAUCUCUCAUGCCUCCUUACUGGGCCCAUGCUGUCUCCUUGACCAGGAAUGUCCUCCACCCCGAUCCCAUCCCCAUAGCCCCCUUCACUGUAAGAUCUGGGCCCAGCAAAUUGCCCAGCUCCUCUUCUCUGAAUGCUUCUUUAAUGUCUCUGAGAAGGAGUUCCUUCCUCCUUUACUGUCCAUCUCUUCCACCACAUGAGGGGUUUGGGGGAGGUCUUUGAAGACAAGGGACCCUUCCUCAUUCAUAUUUGAAUACUGAGCCCAAGCACACGCCCCUAGCAUCUGCAAUACACACAUGUCAAGGUGAAUGGGGAGAUAGAUGCCAAGAUCCUUGAGCGCUGCAAAUCUUCACUGCCAACUUCAACUACUCCAAAAUAAAGUCAAAAUUUUAAAAGUAAAAAAAAAAAAAAAAAAAAAA
rnacentral:lncRNA from 1 species